rnacentral:rRNA from 1 species
GACGAACGCUGGCGGCGUGCUUAACACAUGCAAGUCGAACGGAGCGAAUGAAAGCUUGCUUUUAUGAGCUUAGUGGCAAACGGGUGAGUAACACGUAGACAACCUGCCGACAGGAUGGGGACAACAUUCCGAAAGGAAUGCUAAUACCGAAUGAAGUCGAGGGAAGGCAUCUUCCUUCGAUGAAAGAUGGCCUCUGAACAUGCUAUCACCUGCCGAUGGGUCUGCGUCUGAUUAGCUGGUUGGUGAGGUAACGGCUCACCAAGGCGACGAUCAGUAGCCGGUCUGAGAGGAUGAACGGCCACAUUGGGACUGAGACACGGCCCAGACUCCUACGGGAGGCAGCAGUGGGGAAUCUUCCGCAAUGGGCGCAAGCCUGACGGAGCAACGCCGCGUGAGUGAAGAAGGUCUUCGGAUCGUAAAGCUCUGUUGACGGGGACGAACGUGCGAGAGGUGAAUAAUCUCUUGUAAUGACG